rnacentral:rRNA from 1 species
GAUCAUGGCUCAGGAUGAACGCUAGCUACAGGCUUAACACAUGCAAGUCGAGGGGCAGCAUGUUGGUUGCUUGCAACCAACGAUGGCGACCGGCGCACUGGUGAGUAACGCGUAUCCAACCUUCCGCACACUCGGGAAUAGCCUUUCGAAAGAAAGAUUAAUGCCCGAUGGUUUCCCGAAUCCGCAUGAGAACGGGAAUAAAGAUUCAUCGGUGUGCAAUGGGGAUGCGU